rnacentral:lncRNA from 1 species
AACAGAGUGAGACCCUGUAUCAAAAAAAAAAAAAUUUCCAUAGUUAAUACCCUUUAAAUGUGGACUGCUAAAUAAAGCUAAAGCUAAGGAACAUUAAAGAAUACUUUAUUAAUUGAAAAAGCAUGCUCUUCUUAAAUAGUAAGCCUUAACCACUGAAAACAUGUCCAAAUGAUCCAUAAAUUCAAAGCAAUCUCAUUAAAAAUAUCAAUGGGAUAAAAAUGAUUCUAAACUUAUCUCAAGAACAGAUGGCAUGCCCACUAGGAUGGCUAUAAUCAAAAAGUCAGAUAAUAAUAAAAAGUGCUGGUGAGGAUGUGGAGAAAUCAGAACUCCAAUGCAUUCUCAUGGGAAUGUAAAAUAGUGCACCUGCAUUAGAAAAGUUUGGCAGUUCCUCAAAUGGUUAAACCAUACAACCCAGCAAUUCCACUCCUGGGUACAUACCCAAGAGAAAUGAAAAUAUACAUCCACACAAAGACUUGCACACAAAUGUUCAUGAUAGUAUAAUUAAAAAUAGCCAAAAAGUGGGAAAAACUCAGUUGUCCACCAACUGAUGAAUAGAUACAUAAAAUGUGGUAUAUCCAUACAAUGGAAUAUUAUUUGGCAAUAAAAACAAUGAAGUAGUGAUACAUGCUACAUGUGUGAACCUUGAAAACACUAUACCGAGUGAAAGAAAUCAGUUACAAAGGACCACAUAUUGUAUGAUUCCAUUCAUGUGAAAUGUCAGAAUAGUGAAAUCUAUACAGCCACUAAGUAGAAGAGUGGUUACCUAGGGUUGGGGGAAAGAGGGUGGUUAUGGAGGAGCGACUGUUAGCUCCUCUUAAGGAAGAGCUGUGGGGUGGUAUAGUUAAUGUAACUAUGGAUGAUUGUUUUGGGGGUGAUGAAAUGUUCCAAAAUUGAGUGUGCUGAUGGUCACACACUCUGAAUAUACUAAAAAACACUGCAACAUAUACUCGUAAUGGGGAAUAAAAAAGAACAGAUGGGCAAAGAUGUCUGAGAAAAACAAUUUUAAUGAAGAAAAAUAUGGGGUACUUUUCCUAUCAGAUGUAAAGUUAUAAUAAUUCUAACUGUAUGGUUCUGGCUCAGCAAUAAAUAUAGAACAAUGAAACAGACUAGAAAGUCCACAGGUAAUGCUAGCAGGAAUAAUAAUUUCAUAUUAUAAUAAAGAUCACAUCUACGUCACUGAUGGGAAAGAAAGAAAUCAAUAGUGUUGGGACAACCAGCUGACCAUUUUAGGAAAAUGAAUCAGUUAGAUCCAUUCAUACCAUGCACUAAAUUUUAGAUAAUUAAAGAUUUAAAUACAAAUAUAACAAUCAUAAAUGUUUCAAAAAAUUUUUUGAAGAAAAUGUGUAUAAUCUUAUAGUAGAAAAGAAGCUAUCUAGGCAUGUCAUAAAAUCUAGAAACAAUAAAGAAAAAGAUUGAUGGGUUGAUCCACGUAAAUAUUUAUGAUUUCUGCAUGUCAAAACAUAUAUAACAAGCUUGGGAAAAAUGUCUGCAACACAUGUUAAAAAUUACUAACUUUAUAAGGAGAACAUACUAAUUUAAUAAAAGGCUUCUCCCAAAUAAAAAUGGUCUAAGGUAAAAUAUGAAAAAGCAAACUGCAAAUGACUGAUAAGCAUAUGAA